UUUAGGAGUUAUUGCCCUUUAUAGUCAAUUUUUAACCAUUUUUCGUAAAUCUUAGUAAUCUUUUACAAAAAUCUUCUCCUCUGAAACUACUAGGCCAAAUACUUCCAAACUUUAACUGAAUGUUCCUUAGGGUAUCUAGUUUGUAAAUUGUAUCCGAAGUUGUGAUCGAUCAACCAAACAUGGCCGCCAUUGCUAAAAAUAGAACAUAGGGGUCAAAUGCAGUUUUUGGCUUAUAACUCAAAAACCAAAGCAUUUAGAGCAAAUCUGACAUGGGAUAAAAAUGUUUAUCAGGUCAAGAUCUAUCUGCCCUGAAAUUUUCAGAUGAAUCAGACAAUCUGUUGUUGGGUUGCUGCCCCUGAAUUGGUAAUUUUGAGGAAAUUUUGCUGUUUUUGGUUAUUAUCUUGAAUAUUAUUAUAGAUAGAGAUAAACUGUAAACAGCAAUAAUGUUCAGCAAAGUAAGAUUUACAAAUAAGUCAACAUGACGGAAAUGGUCAGUUGACCCGUUUAGGAGUUAUUGCCCUUUAUAGUCAAUUUUUAACCAUUUUUCGUAAAUCUUAGUAAUCUUUUACAAAAAUCUUCUCCUCUGAAACUACUAGGCCAA
rnacentral:lncRNA from 1 species